rnacentral:lncRNA from 1 species
GCACACCUUCUGCAUGCACUUCCUUUAUUCUGUUUAUCUCUUCUUCUAUAGGAUUUUAUCGACCAAAAUCCGGUAUCAACACAGCCCCUUAGCUCGGAGUAUGAACGAUCAUGCUUCGAACUUUGUAAGUCCAACGUCUCAAUAUUUUGACCGAUACAAUCUGUUUGAUCGCUCUUUCAUAACUGAUGUUUCCCUUCAAGCUUCUUCUCAAUUUUCAAGCCGAUGUGCUUUGGGCAAAAACGAAUCAUCACUACAAUCAUGCCCCUCCUUCUUCAGAUCCCUUAAUUGCUCAAAUAGCUUGGGUUUUUGAAGAAUUUUUAAAUCAAAACAUAACAUUGCUCCUCAAAUGAUUC